ensembl:lncRNA
AGAGCCUCCUCCAAACCCAAGUCUAGUUUAAAAGGCCACUGCACACUGUGUUUAUUCUGCACAGAGACACAGAGGGUAAACCAGUGUGUUAAUAAAGAGGUGUGUUAGAUCUGGGCAUAUCAUGUGUGUGAGUAGAGCUCUGUUCCUCAUCUGGAUUUUCUCGCUUCUCAGCAGGAACGGAUUGGGUUAUAACUAUGAGGAUUAUUUAGCUUUCUCCUAUAAUGACAUCACAGAUGAAGAUCAGCAGGAGACCAUCACGUGGGAGCACACGAGGAAUGUGCGUGAAACAGAAGACCUCCAGAACAUUCAAAACGGAAGCUUCCCCUUGUCCCUGUGAUGGUGAAGAGCGAUUACGUUGGGAGAAGAUUUUCAUCAUGAUGGAGGACUCACACGUGAUGCAGAAGAUUCUCCUCCAGGCCAAUGAGGAGUUGAAGAUGGAGAUCUCCUCACUGAGAAACCACAUCCAGAAGAUCUCCCGUGACAUCUCCACUUCCUGUCGCAGAGUCAUGGAGGAGACCUGCAGGUCCAUGAACGUGCAGCAGAACCUCAGAGCGGACCAGAACACAACCCGGCUAACACGAGAUGUCCAGCAGAACGUUACUGUACAGCAGCUGGAGGAGACGGAGGAGGUGAGGAAGAGAGAGGACAUGAAGGAUUUGAAGAACGUGGAGAUGACAGAGAUGGACAAAUCUGAGAAGAUGGAGGAGAGUGACAAAUGGUGGAGAUGGACAAAAUGGAGAUUUUGGAGAUGAUGAAGAACUCAGAAUGAAAGAUGACUGGAGUGAUAAUUAUGAUUAAAUCUAUGUGUGUUUCUCUUUGUUCAUGUGCAUGUGCCUGCCAUGUUUACUGUAUUUCUCUGAGGAGCUUCACCACGCUGUUCCUCAUAAGAAGCUUCACGGUGACUCAAAGGCAUUUAGACGUGAUGAUGAUUUCAGACUUUAUAAAACAACUAUGUCAUUUCCAACAUUAUCAUUUUCCUUGUGUUUUAUUUUCACUAUGAGUUUUAUUUCUACCAUUAUAUUUAAAGUCGAGUGUAUCUCCUUGAGUUUGCACCUCCUCAGGAUAAAAUGGGGGGGA